UACGGAGGGUGCAAGCGUUGUCCGGAUUUAUUGGGUUUAAAGGGUGCGUAGGCGGCCUAAUAAGUCAGUGGUGAAAGCCUCCAGCUUAACUGGAGAACUGCCAUUGAUACUGUUAGGCUUGAGUAUACUUGAGGUAGGCGGAAUUGACAGUGUAGCGGUGAAAUGCAUAGAUAUUGUCAAGAACACCAAUUGCGAAGGCAGCUUACUAAAUUAUAACUGACGCUGAGGCACGAAAGUGUGGGUAU
rnacentral:rRNA from 1 species